rnacentral:rRNA from 1 species
UACGAAGGGUGCAAGCGUUACUCGGAAUUACUGGGCGUAAAGCGUGCGUAGGUGGUUUGUUAAGUCUGUUGUGAAAGCCCCGGGCUCAACCUGGGAAUGGCAAUGGAUACUGGCAAGCUAGAGUGCGGUAGAGGGUAGUGGAAUUCCCGGUGUAGCGGUGAAAUGCGUAGAGAUCCGGAGGAACACCAAAGGCGAAGGCAGUGUCCUGGGGAGUACCUGACGCUCAGGUGCGAAAGCCAGGGGAGCGAACGGG